AAACUUUACGAGCUAUCUCUCUCUCUCUCUUUCACACACACACACACACACGCACACACACACACCACAAAAGAAAUUAAAUUUGGACUUUGCAGAAGUUUUUAUCUCGUUUUUGGCAGUGUGCAUCUGAAGGGGAGCAGAAACAAUGGCUGGGAAAGUGAGAAGCAGUGGUGAAGAGAAUCAAAUCUUUCUUAGCUCUUGUUUAAAGUUAAUUAAUUAUGGAGUAAGAUAAGUUACAUUUAAUUUUGGUUGUUUUAAUUUGAAGCUUUGGCGUGGGCUGACAUAGUGGUGGAAGGCACUCUCUUUCUAUUGCAAAACUAUCUAACUGAUAUUUGGAAACUCAGCUUCUUUAAAGCUGCUGCAUUUCUAAAUAUAUGGGGUGGAAUUUAUAGAAUUUUGCCAAUUUUGCUU
rnacentral:lncRNA from 1 species